GCCCCCUUGGCGGAAUUGGUAUACGCAGCGGACUUAAAAUCCGCCACCGCAAGGUUUGUGGGUUCGAGUCCCACAGGGGGCA
rnacentral:tRNA from 1 species